rnacentral:lncRNA from 1 species
GUACAACAAGUGUGCAAAGCAAUUUCUAUAUUAGGUUUAAUAACUAAUAACUCUAUGCACGGGUUUGCUGCAAUGCAAUCCGGAUUAUGGUCCAAGUGGGGUUUACGACUGUGUGCCAUUAAAAGACUACGAUCAUCCACAGUAUGCAACAUGCAUAACUAAUUCCUAUGCUGAGAUGAAAACGAAUUACCGAUAUGCCUGUAGAGAAGAUGUGCAUGGUGAACGUCCUACAUACUGUUGGAAUCAGUGUAUGGUUGAAUUGCAUGAUAUGACUUAUGGACAUGUUUACAACGACUGUGCAUGUACUCCCGGACAACAUGUAAUAAAAUACUCAAGGACUACCUUAACUACACCUUUGCCGAUAUCAGAACAGUGUUACACUCCUACAGGACAUGACUGCCUCUGGUUUCGCGAUUGCUUGAAUUACAAAUAUUCUUGUGACGGUACAGAUUACAAGGAACUGCUGGAACUAGGUAUUAACUUUUGUACAAUUGCGCCAGAAACUAAAACGACGAUAUCCGAAAAUGGUUCUUUAUGGUUUGAUAAUGCUCAAAAAUGCUUUCAGGUCCAAAUGGCUCCCGUUUUAAAACAAUGGUUGCAUCUCAAUUGUUCUACCGUUGAAAAUAAAGCUACUUCUGUACGUAACCAGUGUCUUUCAACACCACUUGGCGUGAUAUCAUUAUACGAUUUGUCCCAUGAUGAUGUAUGGACUAUAUUUUGGAGCAUACGGGAUUCUCUCAACAAAAAUCUUGUUCCAAGCAUUUUGCAUGUCAUGAACGUAAUUCAAAAUUGUUCAACAUUAGAUAAGGAAAGUAAUGUCACGGAAAUGAGACUUUUCUUCACGCCGACGAUCAAUACUCACGUUACAAAUACUAUGAUCGAGAAGUUCCUUUCUAAAAUUGUAAAAAAAAAUGAGUUGGCAAAACGAAGGCAUAGGUUGGUUUGGCAUAUUAUCAGAACAAAUGACUGUACAUGUAAAUCUAGCGGUACGACCAAAUACCGACAAAAAUCAAGAAAAACAGAAUGGUACUAGUUUAGAUAAGGCACUGAUGAAAUUUGCAAAUGCCUUCGAAGAUGGUGAAUUUCAAUUCAAUAUUCAGGGAACCGUGAUAUAACUUGACAAAAUGUUUGUGUGUAAAGACAUUUAUUGUGAAGAAACGUACCUACACCGUAACGCCACAUACCCAGGUAAAUUAUAUGCGACUGUAGUUGAGAUUUUGUAUAAUUGUUGCUGAAGAAAAUUCAAAACGAAAAGUCCCUAAUCAAAUUAAAGCUAUGUAACAUAUGAAACUUUCACCUCAAAUGUUUUCCUUAUAACCUUACAUCAAGCAAUUGUUUAGGUCUUGGGCAGCUGUUAAAGGUUACAUAUCUGUUCUAGAAAACACAUAUUUCUUGUCAGAAUCAUUAUGUGUUCAUCUUUUCAUGAAAGUGCAACCGCGAGGAAGAACUUAUUUUUUUAAUUAUUAAUUUUGUGUAUCUGUCAAAUCUUUAAGGAUCAAAGAGCCAUAACUUAGCAAAAUUUGUUGUAUAAAAGUAUUUAUCUAAAUAACAAAUUGCACAUAUUUUAUACGUAUCUUAAUUAUAUAUUGUCUGAAGUUGCGUAUUUUCAAAAUAAUGACAAAGGCCUAUUAUAUGUUAAAGUUACGUUGAAAAAUAUUAAAGAAAGAAAAUACAACAGCAUGUACUAUUUGUAAAACAAUGGGGCUAUAUAAAGGUUUUUAAAAUAUCUUUUGUGACGGUUCAGAAAAUUUGUUUUACAUAUCACGACGGAUUUAUUUCUAAUCGACGUAUCCAUUCCCGUACUCCUUUCAAAUGUAACCUCAACAUUAGGUUUAUCACCUGUUGUACUUAACGGGAACACACGACGUGCCACAUAUAUAGACGAAUCUGCUUACUCUUUUUGUAGGCACCUCCCAGAUUUGCGUAGGGUUCUUAACAUGGAAGUUUUUAACGAUAGUGACUGACUAUACAGCAACUAUGUAUUUACAAAUGGUGUUGUCAAUUUACUGAACUUUAAAUUUUGAACGUCUUUAAAGUGUAUUUCAACAAUCAACAAUCAGGCUCUCUCAAGGAUAAUGUCUAUAUAUAAAUGGUUAUGGGGUUCUUCAUAGGAUAAUGUUUAUAGUCGCCGUCACGUAAAAUUGGCACCAUGUUUUUUGUCAAAAUUUUCUUAAAUAUCGACCGCGUUUACUAAAGAUCAUGUUUUCAAUUAGCGGAAUCAAAUAUCAUUCCAAAAAUCAAUACUGUCCUCCUUUUAUUGUGUUUGCACUGUAUAAUCCUGACCUUCACAUAAUCCAAGAUAAUUUGUAUGGUGGAUCCGACAUUUGUUUAUUACCGAGUGUUCCGUGGAGUUUCCACGUGCUCUCAAUUUCUUGUGUCUUCGGAGCUUUUCGUCAUCUUACGUAAAAGCGCGGGAAUUGUAUCAUCAAUGACAAUGAUAUUACCGGAGAGUAACGAAUGUUAUGGAAUAAGGGACCCUCAAUAGAAACCAAAUGGCGGUUAUACAUGUAAAUAAUCUUUGAAAUGUGAAGGUCAGGAUUACAGUGCAAAACACAAUAAAAGGUAGGACAGUAGUGGAUAUUUGGACAGGAUUUUACUUCCGCUAAAAGAAAAACAUCAUCUUGAGUAAACGCGGCUGAUAUUUAAAAUUUUUUUAACAAAAAACAUGGUGCCAUUUUUACAUGACGGCGACUAUAUAUAUUAAUGGUUAAAACUGGCAAUAUUUCUUUUAAUAAUCUCGUUACAAAUCGAUUAAUGGCAUCCGUUAUUUUGUGAAGACCAACCGCUUUAAAAUAUUUUUAAUUUUACAUAAUAUAUAACUAGCUACAAAAAAUGUAAUUUUCUAAAAGUGAUUGGUAUUUAAAAAGAGUAGAAAAUAAAGCUACUUCUGUACGUAACCAGUAUCUUUCAAAACCACUGUGCGUCAUAUCGUUAUGUGAUUGGUCCACUGUUGAUGUAUUGAGUAUAUUUUGGAGCAUACGGGAAUCAUUUGAUGUAAAUCUUGUUCAGAACCUCAUGCAUCUCAUGAAAUUAAUCCAAGGCUGUUCAACAUUAGAAUAAAUGUCAGAAAAUGACACUAACUCCUAACGCCGAACUUGAUCAAGGAAUAUUCUUUUACAAACUUGCUGCAAAAAAUGAGUUGGCAGAAAUGGCAUCACUGGUAUUGCGAAAUAUCACAACAACUGCAUGUAUAUCAUUAUGUCCAUCUGUUUCGGCCGAAAAUGAAAAGAUAAUAAGGAGCAGAAACAUAAAAGUUUAGUGAGGAAACUGAUGAAUUUCUCAAAUUCUCAAAAGGUCAAUUCCAGUUCAAGAUUAAAGAAAAUUUGAAACAAUUUGAAUUUUUGUGUGUAAAGAUUAUCAUUUUCAACAUACGUACUUGCACCGUAACGCAAUAUACACAGGGAAACUUAAAUUCUAGUGUAGUUGAAUAUUUGUCUUAAUGUUGCUAGUACUUUACUAUUCAUAAUUUAGAAGAAUCCAAAUAUUGAUAUUGGUCGUUCCAAUAUCUGAAUGGAUAAAAAAAUAGUCCACCAGAUUGACAAGGUUUAAGAGAAAAAUCCAUUUCCUUUACUGGUGGACACUACUCAGUUAAAGUAAAAUCACAAAACUCCAGAACUCUGAAGAAAAAUUCAAAACGAAAAUCCUAAUCAAAUUAAAGCUAUGUAACAUAUGAAACUUUCACCUCAAAUGUUUUCCUUAUAACCUUACAUCAAGCAAUUGUUUAGGUCUUGGGCAGCUGUUAAAGGUUACAUAUCUGUUCUAGAAAACACAUAUUUCUUGGUCAGAAUCAUUAUGUGUUCAUCUUUUCAUGAAAGUGCAACCGCGAGGAAGAACUUAUUUUUUUAAUUAUUAAUUUUGUGUAUCUGUCAAAUCUUUAAGGAUCAAAGAGCCAUAACUUAGCAAAAUUUGUUGUAUAAAAGUAUUUAUCUAAAUAACAAAUUGCACAUAUUUUAUACGUAUCUUAAUUAUAUAUUGUCUGAAGUUGCGUAUUUCAAAACUAGAUGACAAAGGCCUAUGUAUAUGUUAAAGUUGACGUUGAAAAAUUAUUAAAGAAAGAAAAUACAACAGCAUGUACUAUGUUGUAAACAAUGGGGCUAUAUAAAGGUUUUAAAAUAUCUAUUUGUGACAGGUUCAGAAAAUUUGUUUUACAUAUCACGACGGAUUUAUUCUAAUCGACGUAAUCCCAUUCCCCGUACUCUUCAAAUGUACCUCAACAUUAGGUUUAUUACCUGGUUUGUACUUACACGAGGAACACAACGAGUGCCACAUAUAUAGACGAAUCUGCUUACUCUUUUGGAGCACCUCCCAGAUUUGCGUAGGGUUCUUAACAUGGAAGUUUUUAACGAUAGUGACUACUAUACAGCAAAUAGUAUUUACAAAUGGUGUUGUCAAUUUACUGAACUUUAAAUUUUGAACGUCUUUAAAGUGUAUUUCAACAAUCAACAAUCAGGCUCUCUCAAGGAUAAUGUCUAUAUAUAAAUGGUUAUGGGGUUCUUCAUAGGAUAAUGUUUAUAUAUUAAUGGUUAAAACUGGCAAAUAUUUCUUUUAAUCUCGUUACAUCGAUAAUGCAUCCGUUAUUUUGUGAAGACCAACCGCUUUUAAAAUUUUUUAAUUUUACAUAAUAUAUAACUAGCUACAAAAAAUGUAAUUUUCUAAAAGUGAUUGGUAUUUAAAAAGAGUAGAAAAUAAAGCUACUUCUGUACGUAACCAGUAUCUUUCAAAACCACUGUGCGUCAUAUCGUUAUGUGAUUUGUCCACUGUUGAUGUAUUGAGUAUAUUUUGGAGCAUACGGGAAUCAUUUGAUGCAAAUCUUUUUCAGAACCUCAUGCAUCUCAUGAAAUUAAUCCAACUGUUCAACAAUUAGAAUAAUGUCAAGAAAAUGACACUACUCCUAACGCCGAAUCUUGAUCAAAAAUUCUUUACAAUUGCUGCAAAAAAUGAUUGGCAAGAAAAUGGCAUACACUGGUAUUGCGAAAUAUCACAACAACUGCAUGUAUAUCAUUUAUGUCCAUCUGUUCGGCCGAAAACUGAUAAAGAUAAUAAGGAGCAGAAACAUAAAAGUUUAGAUGAGGAAUGAGGAAUUUCUCAAAUCUCAAAAAGGGUCAAUUCCAGUUCAAGAUUAAAGAAAAUUUGAAACAAUUGAAUUUUUGUGUGUAAAGAUUAUCAUUUUCAAAUACGUACUUGCACGUAACGCAAUAUACACAGGGAAACUUAAAUUCUGUGUAGGAAUAUUUGUCUUAAUGUUGCUAGUACUUUACUAUUCAUAAUUUAGAAGAAUCCAAAUAUUGAUAUUGGUCGUUCCAAUAUCUGAAUGGAUAAAAAAAUAGUCCACCAGAUUGACAAGGUUUAAGAAGAAAUCCAUUUCACUUUACUGGGUGGACACAUACUCAGUUAAAAGUAAAAUCACAAAACUACAGAACUCUGAAGAAAAUUCAAAACGAAAAGUCCCUAAUCAAAUUAAAGCUAUGUAAAUAUGAAACUUUCACCUCAAAUGUUUUCCUAUACCUUACAUAAGCAAUUGUUUAGGCUUGGCAGCUGUUAAAGGUUACAUUCGUUCUAGAACCACAUAUUCUUGGCAGAAUCAUUAUGUGUUCAUCUUUUCAUGAAAGUGCACCGCGAGGAAGAACUUAUUUUUUUAAUUAUUAAUUUUGUGACUGAAAUCUUUAAGGAUCAAAGAGAUAACUAGCAAAAUUUGUUGUAUAAAAGAUUUAUCUAAAUAAAAAAUUGCACAUAUUUUAUACGUAUUAAUUAUAUAUUGUCUGAAGUGCGUAUUCAAAACUAAGGACAAAGGCCUAUGUAUAUUUUAAGUUGCGUUGAAAAAUUCUUAAAGAAAGAAAAUACAACAGCAUGUACUAUGUGUAAAAAUGGGGCUAUAUAAGGUUUUAAAAUAUCAUUGUGACAGGUUCAGAAAAUUGUUUUAACAUAACACGACGAUUUAUUCUAAUCGACGUAAUCCCAUUCCCGACCUUCAAUGUAACCUCAACAUGGUUUAUUACCUGGUUUGUCUUACCUAGGAACACAACGAGUGCCACAAUAUAGACGAAACUGCUUACUCUUUUGGAGCACCUCCCAGAUUUGCGUAGGGUCUACAUGGAAGUUUUAACGCUAGUGACUGACUAUACAGCAACUAUGUAUUUACAAAUUGUUGUCAAUUUACUGAAACUUUAAUUUUGAACGUCUUUAAAGUGUAUUUCAACAAUCAACAUCAGGCUCUCUCAAGGAUAAUGUCUCUAUAUAAAUGGUUAUGGGUUUCAUAGGAUAAUGUUUAUAUAUUAAUGGUAAAACUGGCAAAUAUUUCUUUAAUAAUCUCUUACAAUCGAUUAUGCAUCGUUAUUUUGUGAAGACAACCGCUUUAAAUAUUUUUAAUUUUACAUAUAUAUACUAGCUAAAAAAUGAUUUUCUAAAAGUGAUUGGUAUUUAAAAAGAGUAGAAAAUAAAGCUACUUCUGUACGUAACCAGUAUCUUUCAAAACCACUGUGCGUCAUAUCGUUAUGUGAUUGUCCACUGUUGAUGUAUUGAGUAUAUUUGGAGCACGGAAUCAUUUGAUGCAAAUUUUUUCAGAACUCUGCAUCUCAUGAAAUUAAUCCAAGGCUGUUCAACAUUAGAAUAAAUGUCAAGAAAAUGACACUACUCCUAACGCCGAAUCUUGAUCAAGGAAUAUUCUUUACAACUUGCUGCAAAAAUGAGUUGGCAAGAAAAUGGCAUACACUGGUAUUGCGAAAUAUCACAACAACUGCAUGUAUAUCAUUUAUGUCCAUCUGUUCGGCCGAAAACUGAUAAAGAUAAUAAGGAGCAGAAACAUAAAAGUUUAGAUGAGGAACUGAUGAAUUUCUCAAAUUCUCAAAAAGGGUCAAUUCCAGUUCAAGAUUAAAGAAAAUUUGAAACAAUUUGAAUUUUUGUGUGUAAAGAUUAUCAUUUUCAACAUACGUACUUGCACCGUAACGCAAUAUACACAGGGAAACUUAAAUUCUAGUGUAGUUGAAUAUUUGUCUUAAUGUUGCUAGUACUUUACUAUUCAUAAUUUAGAAGAAUCCAAAUAUUGAUAUUGGUCGUUCCAAUAUCUGAAUGGAUAAAAAAAUAGUCCACCAGAUUGACAAGGUUUAAGAAGAAAUCCAUUUCACUUUACUGGGUGGACACAUACUCAGUUAAAAGUAAAAUCACAAAACUACAGAACUCUGAAGAAAAUUCAAAACGAAGUCCCUAUCAAAUUAAAGCUGUAACAUAUGAAACUUUCACUCAAUGUUUCCUUAUAACCUUACAUCAGCAAUUGUUUAGGUCUGGCAGCUGUAAGGUUACAUAUCUGUUCUAGAAAACACAUUUUCUUGUCGAAUCAUUAUGUGUUCAUCUUUUCAUGAAAGUGCAACCCGAGAGAACUUAUUUUUUAAUUAUUAAUUUUGUGUAUCUGUCAAAUCUUUAAGGAUCAAAGAGCCAUAACUUAGCAAAAUUUUUGUAUAAAAAUUUAUUAAAUAACAAAUUGCACAUAUUUUAUACGUAUCUUAAUUAUAUAUUGUCUGAAGUUGCGUAUUUCAAAACUAGAUGACAAAGGCCUAUGUAUAUGUUAAAGUUGACGUUGAAAAUAUUAAGAAAGAAAAUCAACAGCAUGUACAUGUGUAACAAUGGGCUAUAUAAAGUUUUAAAUAUCUAUUUGUGACAGGUUCAGAAAAUUUGUUUUACAUAUCACGACGGAUUUAUUCUAAUCGACGUAAUCCCAUUCCCGUACUCCUUCAAAUGUAACCUCAACAUUAGGUUUAUCACCUGGUUUGUACUUACACGAGGAACACAACGAGUGCCACAUAUAUAGACGAAUCUGCUUACUCUUUUGGAGCACCUCCCAGAUUUGCGUAGGGUUCUUAACAUGGAAGUUUUUAACGAUAGUGACUGACUAUACAGCAACUAUGUAUUUACAAAUGGUGUUGUCAAUUUACUGAACUUUAAAUUUUGAACGUCUUUAAAGUGUAUUCAACAUCAACAAUCGGCUCUCUCAAGAUAAUGUCUAUAUAUAAAUGUUAUGGGGUCUUCAUAGGAUAUGUUUAUAGUCGCCGUCACGUAAAAUUGGCACCAUGUUUUUUUUGUCAAAAUUUUCUUAAUAUCGACCGCGUUUACUAAAGAUCAUGUUUUUCAAUUAGCGGAAUCAAAUAUCAUUCCAAAAAUCAACUACUGUCCUACCUUUUAUUGUGUUUGCACUGUAUAAUCCUGACCUUCACAUAAUCCAAGAUUAAUUUGUAUGGUGGAAUCCGACAUUGUUAUUACCGGAAGUGUUGCCGUGGAGUUCCACGUGCUCUCAAUUUUCUUGUGUCUCUCGGAGCUUUUCGUCAUCUUUACGUAAAAAGCGCGGGAAAUUGUAUCAUCAUGACAAUGAUAUUACCGGAGAGUACGAAUGUUAUGGAAUAAGGGACCCUCAUAGAAACCAAGAUGGCGGUUAUACAAUGUAAAUAAUCUUGAAAAAUGUGAAGGUCAGGAUUAUACAGUGCAAACACAAUAAAAGGUAGGACAGUAGUGGAUAUUUGGACAUGAUUUUACUUCCGCUAAAAGAAAAACAUCAUCUUGAGUAAACGCGGCUGAUAUUUAAAAAUUUUUUAAACAAAAAACAUGGGUGCCAUUUUUUACAUGACGCGACUAUAUAUAUAAUGUUAAACUGGCAAAUAUUUCUUUUAAUAAUCUCGUUACAAAUCGAUUAAUGGCAUCUGUUAUUUUGUGAAGACCAACCGCUUUAAAAUAUUUUUAAUUUUACAUAAUAUAUAACUAGCUACAAAAAAUGUAAUUUUCUAAAAGUGAUUGGUAUUUAAAAAAAGUAGAAAAUAAAGCUACUUCUGUACGUAACCAGUAUCGUUCAAAACCACUGUGCGUCAUAUCGUUAUGUGAUUUGUCCACUGUUGAUGUAUUGAGUAUAUUUUGGAGCAUACGGGAAUCAUUUGAUGCAAAUCUUGUUCAGAACCUCAUGCAUCUCAUGAAAUUAAUCCAAGGCUGUUCAACAUUAGAAUAAAUGUCAAGAAAAUGACACUACUCCUAACGCCGAAUCUUGAUCAAGGAAUAUUUUUACAAUUGCUGCAAAAGAUUGGCAAGAAAAUGGCAUACACUGGUAUUGCGAAAUAUCACAACAACUGCAUGUAUAUCAUUUAUGUCCAUCUGUUCGGCCGAAAACUGAUAAAGAUAAUAAGGAGCAGAAACAUAAAAGUUAGAUGAGGACUGAUGAAUUUCUCAAUUCUCAAAAAGGGUCAAUUCCAGUUCAAGAUUUAAAGAAAAUUUGAAACAAUUUGAAUUUUUGUGUGUAAAGAUUAUCAUUUUCAACAUACGUACUUGCACCGUAACGCAAUAUACACAGGGAAACUUAAAUUCUAGUGUAUAGUUGAAUAUUUGUCUUAAUGUUGCUAGUACUUUACUAUUCAUAAUUUUAAGAAUCCAAAUAUUGAUAUUGGUCGUUCCAAUAUCUGAAUGGAUAAAAAAAAUAGUCCAUCAGAUUGACAAGGUUUACGGAGAAAUCAAUUUCACUUUACUGGGUGGACACAUACUCAGUUAAAAGUAAAAUCACAAAACUACAGAACUCUGAAGAAAAUUCAAAACGAAAAGUCCCUAAUCAAAUUAAAGCUAUGUAACAUAUGAAACUUUCACCUCAAAUGUUUUCCUUAUAAUAUAACCUUACAUCAAGCAAUUGUUUAGGUCUUGGGCGGCUGUUCAAGGUUAAAUAUCUGUUCUAGAAAACACAUAUUUCUUGGUCAGAAUCAUUAUGUGUUCAUCUUUUCAUGAAAGUGCAACCGCGAGAAAGAACUUAUUUUUUUAUAGCUUUUGUAAUAUUGCGUCAGAAACGAAAAAGAAAAUAUCCGAAAAUGGUUCUUUUUGGUUUGAUAAUGCUCAAAAAUGCUUUAAGGUCCAAAUGAUUCCUGUUUUGAAACAAUGGUUGCAUCUUAACUGUUCCAAAAUAGAGAAUAUGUAGAAAAUAAAGCUACUUCUGUACGUAACCAGUGUCUUUGAAAACCCGUUGGUGUGAUAUCAUUAUGUGAUUUUUUCCAUGAUGAUGAAUGGACUAUAUUUUGGAGCAUUCGGGAUUCUAUCGACAAAAAUCUUGUUCCAAGCAUUUUGCAUGUCAUGAACUUAAUUCAAAAUUGUUCAACAUCAGAUAAGAAAUGUAAUGUCACGGAAAUGAGACUUUUCUUCACGCCGACGAUUAAUAUUCACGUUACAAAUACUAAGAUCGAGAAGUUCCUUUCUAACAUUGUAACAAAGAUGAGUUGACAAAACGAAGGCAUACGUUGGUUUUGCGUAUUGUCACAAGAAAUAACUGUUUAUAUAGCUGUACCACCAAAAACCGAUGAAAGAAAAGAUAAACAGAAUGGUACAAGUUUAGAUAAGGCACUGAUGAAAUUUGCAAAUGCCUUCGAAGAUGGUGAAUUUCAAUUCAAUAUUCAGGGGAACAUAAUAGAGCUUGAGAAAAUAUUUGUGUGUAAAGAAAUUUAUUGUGAAGAAACGUACCUACACCGUAACUCUACAUACCCAGGUGAACUUAUAUUCUACCGUAGUUGAGAUUUUGUACAAAAGUUGUUUGACUUUAACUUUUUCAUAAUUUCAAGAUUCUAAAUAUUAUCAUUGCUAGUUGAAAUAUCUAACUGGUUAUUUGCGUCUGUCCGUCAGUUAGACAAAAUGUACAGAGUCAUAAGUUUUUACUGUUCUGUUCUGUAUGUUCACAUAUUCAGAUAAGUUGGGUUAAAAUGGAAACUAUUACUCCAAAUUGUCGAGUUACAAAUACAACAAGUCAUAUAAAAGGUAUUCGGCUGCUUGUUGAAAGGCUAAAUAUCUGCUGAAUCUAACAUACAUUCAUUAUUGAGUGACAUGCGUAUCAACGUUUGAUCAAAGUGCAUCCACUUGCAAAAACCUGCCUUUGUAAAGUAUUGUUUAUUUGUAGAUUUACUUUGACAUAUUUAAACUAGUUUAUGAAUACUUUAAAUUUUAGAAUUGACCUUUACAAACAAGAAAGAAAAAUAAAUCCAAAACACCACAUGUAAUGUGGAAAUAUAAUAUCGGGAAUUCCAACUUUCUGGUCAACGAUGGGGGUCUUUGAAAGAUAAUGUCUAUAUUCAAAUACAACUGACACAGAUUUCUUUUAUGAGUCGCGUUACGAAACAUAUUAUGACAUCAUCCGUUAUUCUGCUUUAACAUGUUUUUAAUUAUAAAUAAUAUAUAACUAUCUAAUGUCUAAAAGUGAAAUUAUAUGUGAUUGGUAUUUUAAAAGAGAAGAGAACGAUACAAAAUUGAUAUUCAAACAUAAUAAACGAGGCAAAGUAUCAAACACAAAACAAGUUUAAAAUGGACACAAAAAUGGAAAAGACAGUGGAAAAAACCCCUAAUGAAACAAAUGUUUAAUCAAAUUUAACUUGUUUAUUUACAUGUUAAAUUGUAGAAUUGACGUUUACAAGAACGAAAGAAACAGAAAUCUAAAAAAAAAAAAACAACAGGUAAUGUGGGAAUAUAAUAUCGUCAAUUCCAACUUCCUUGUCAACAAUGGGGCUCUUUAAAGGAUAAUGUCUAUAUUUGAGUUGUUACAACUGACAAAUUUCUUUUAUGAGUCGCGUUACAUAACGUAUUAUGACAUCAUCAGUUAUUCUGCUUUAACAUGAUUUUAAUUUGAAUAAUAUAUAACUAGCUAAUUUUCUAGAUGUGAAAUUAUAUGUUAUUAGUAUUUUAAAAGAGAGGAGAAAGAUACCGUAUUGAAAUUCAAACAUGAGAAACGAGGCAAAGUAUCAAACACAAAACAGUUUAAAAUGGACACAAAAAUGGAAAAGACAGUAGAAAAAAACCGAAUGAGACAAAUAUUUUAACAAAUUUAAAUUAGUUUAUUCACAUGUUAAAUUGCAGAAUUGACCUUUACAAGAAACAAAGAAACAGAAAUUCAAAAUGCUACAG